CCUACGGGCGGCAGCAGUGGGGAAUAUUGGACAAUGGGCGAAAGCCUGAUCCAGCCAUGCCGCGUGUGUGAAGAAGGCCUUCGGGUUGUAAAGCACUUUCAGUGGGGAAGAAAGCCUUGGGGCUAAUACCCUCGAGGAAGGACAUCACCCACAGAAGAAGCACCGGCUAACUCCGUGCCAGCAGCCGCGGUAAUACGGAGGGUGCGAGCGUUAAUCGGAAUUACUGGGCGUAAAGCGCGCGUAGGCGGUCUGAUAAGCCGGUUGUGAAAGCCCCGGGCUCAACCUGGGAACGGCAUCCGGAACUGUCAGGCUAGAGUGCAGGAGAGGAAGGUAGAAUUCCCGGUGUAGCGGUGAAAUGCGUAGAGAUCGGGAGGAAUACCAGUGGCGAAGGCGGCCUUCUGGACUGACACUGACGCUGAGGUGCGAAAGCGUGGGUAGCAAACAGGAUUAGAUACCCUGGUAGC
rnacentral:rRNA from 1 species